rnacentral:rRNA from 1 species
UGGGGAAUAUUGGACAAUGGGGGAAACCCUGAUCCAGCGAUGCCGCGUGUGCGAAGAAGGCCUGCGGGUUGUAAAGCACUUUGGUUGGGGAAGAAGGUUGAUGACUGAAUAGGUUAUUGAUUUGACGUUACCCAAAGAACAAGCACCGGCUAACUCUGUGCCAGCAGCCGCGGUAAUACAGAGGGUGCGAGCGUUAAUCGGAAUUACUGGGCGUAAAGGGCGCGUAGGCGGUUAUUUAAGUUAGAUGUGAAAUUUCUGGGCUUAACCUGGGACUGGCAUUUAAGACUGAAUGGCUAGAGUAGAAUAGAGGGGAGUGGAAUUUCCGGUGUAGCGGUGAAAUGCGUAGAUAUCGGAAAGAACAUCAGUGGCGAAGGCGACUUCCUGGGUUCAUACUGACGCUGAGGCGCGAAAGCAUGGGUAGCAAACAGG